AGCCAGGCCGGACGAAGGGAUGGAGACGCGCGAGAAUGGCAGUUCUCACUUCAUUUCCCACUGGAGCUGAAAGAGGUCGUUAUUAGUGGAGACAAAAGGACCCCCGCGGAGCCACCAUGGAAACGGCUUCUCUUCACAAACGGGCUCAUUGAGCUGACCCAGGUUCGGCCGGGCAACGCCAGUCGCUACCACCCGCCAGAAGGAGCCGGGGGUUUACAAGAUGCCCAUAAUAUUCUAAAGUCAUCAUUCGUGCAAAUGUUGGGGGACAUGCCAACGUCCUGCAUUAUGUCAGUUACACACAGAAAAUGUCAUUGAAGGCUGAAUUUUAGACUUGCUGGUAUUUUGUAUAGUUGAAUGUUGUCCAGAAGAAAUUCACAGAUGAUACACUUAUGAGGUGUAUUGAUAAAGGAAAUGAGACAGAGGAGAGAAGUCACGUGGAGAACCUUUCUGCAACUUAACAUUAGCAAAACCAAGGAACUGGCUAUGGACCAAUGAGCCUCUAUGUCUUUUCUCUACACAUGG